UGACCAGCAAUUCCUAUGCCUACCUCCUCGUGGUGCCGGCCGGAAACUACGAGCAACCUUAGGGAAGAUCGGAUAACCAACCCCGGUGGGAACUUUGGUCGUAGGCUGACAGAGAAGG
rfam:Aedes albopictus isolate Foshan contig41582, whole genome shotgun sequence.